GACGAACGCUGGCGGCGUGCUUAACACAUGCAAGUCGAGCGGAGCGGCGAACGGGUGAGUAACGCGUGAGUAACUGCCCCCCUCUCUGGGAUAACAGUUGGAAACGGCUGCUAAUACCGGAUAGUGGGGGAUGACUCGCGGUGCAUUAGCUAGUUGGUGAGGUAACGGGCUACCAAGGCCACGGUGCAUAGCCGACCUGAGAGGGUGAUCGGCCACACUGGGCUGAGACACGGGCAAGACUCCUACGGGAGGCAGCAGUGGGGAAUAUUGCACAAUGGGGGAAACCCUGAUGCAGCAACGCGCGUGCGGGAUGACGGCCGUCGGGUUGUAAACCGCUUUCAGCCAUGACGCGGUAGUGGCAGAAGAAGCACCGGCUAACUACGUGCCAGCAGCCGCGGUAAUUC
rnacentral:rRNA from 1 species